AGUCCACAUCGACGGGGAGGUUUGGCACCUCGAUGUCGGCUCAUCACAUCCUGGGGCUGUAGUAGGUCCCAAGGGUUGGGCUGUUCGCCCAUUAAAGUGGUACGCGAGCUGGGUUCAGAACGUCGUGGGACAGUUCGGUCCCUAUCCGUCGCAGGCGUAGGAAAUUUGAGAAGACCUGUCCUUAGUACGAGAGGACCGGGAUGGACGUACCUCUGGUGUACCAGUUGUCCUGCCAAGGGCAUGGCUGGGUAGCUAUGUACGGAAUGGAUAAGCGCUGAAAGCAUCUAAGCGCGAAGCCAACUUCAAGAUAAGAUUUCCCACCGCAAGGGUAAGACCCCAGAAAGACUAUCUGGUUG
rnacentral:rRNA from 1 species